AGAGUUUGAUCAUGGCUCAGGACGAACGCUGGCGGCGUGCUUAACACAUGCAAGUCGAACGGAAAGGCCCGCUUUCGGGUACUCGAGUGGCGAACGGGUGAGUAACACGUGGGCAACCUGCCCUCAGCUCUGGGAUAACUCCGGGAAACCGGUGCUAAUACUGGAUAUCGACUUCUGCCUCGCAUGGGGUGUUGUUGAAAGUUUUUCGGCUGGGGAUGGGCCCGCGGCCUAUCAGCUUGUUGGUGGGGUGAUGGCCUACCAAGGCGACGACGGGUAGCCGGCCUGAGAGGGCGACCGGCCACACUGGGACUGAGACACGGCCCAGACUCCUACGGGAGGCAGCAGUGGGGAAUAUUGCGCAAUGGGCGGAAGCCUGACGCAGCGACGCCGCGUGAGGGAUGACGGCCUUCGGGUUGUAAACCUCUUUCAGCUCUGACGAAGCGAGAGUGACGGUAGGAGCAGAAGAAGCACCGGCCAACUACGUGCCAGCAGCCGCGGUAAUACGUAGGGUGCAAGCGUUGUCCGGAAUUAUUGGGCGUAAAGAGCUCGUAGGCGGUUUGUCGCGUCGAAUGUGAAAACCCGGGGCUCAACCCCGGGCCUGCAUUCGAUACGGGCAGNCUAGAGUUCGGUAGGGGAGUCUGNNAUUCCUGGUGUAGCGGUGAANUNCGCAGA
rnacentral:rRNA from 1 species